rnacentral:tRNA from 1 species
GGGCGAUUAGCUCAGUCGGUCAGAGCGCCUCUCUGAUAAGGAGGAGGUCCCUGGUUCGAGUCCAGGAUCGCCCA